AGCAGCCGCGGUAAUUCCAGCUCCAAUAGCGUAUAUUAAAGUUGCUGCAGUUAAAAAGCUCGUAGUUGAAUUUCGGGACCAUCAUGUCGGUCGUGCCUCGGUACGUACUGGCAUUGUUGGUUUCUACCUUCUGACGAACCAUGAUGUCAUUUAUUUGGUGUCGUGGGAAAUCAGGACUGUUACUUUGAAAAAAUUAAAGUGUUUAAAGCAGGCUCACGCUUGAAUACAUUAGCAUGGAAUAAUGAAAUAGGACGUUUGAUUCUAUUUUGUUGGUUUCUAGGAUCGACGUAAUGAUUAAUAGGGAUAGUUGGGGGCAUUAGUAUUCAAUUGUCAGAGGUGAAAUUCUUGGAUUUAUUGAAGACUAACUACUGCGAAAGCAUUUGCCAAGGAUGUUUUCAUUAAUCAAGAACGAAAGUUAGGGGAUCGAAGACGAUCAGAUACCGUCGUAGUCUUAACCAUAAACUAUGCCGACUAGGGAUCGGAUGAUGUUAAUUUUUUAAUGACUCAUUCGGCGCCUUAC
rnacentral:rRNA from 1 species